CAGACUGACUCAAAAACACCUAUGUAAAAGGAGGGGUAGGGAGACUGAACCAAGGAGACAGGAGAUGAAGAUUCCUCCAUGAACCAUUACAUGGGCCACAGAGAUGGGUCCAUGACAAAAUUUGUGUCAACACUUGUCAAUCCUAGGGGUUUUCUUUUGAGUUCUCAGGGGAGUAGACUCCCUGUGUAUCACUGACCAUGAAGCUGAACACAUGCAGUCCCAGGAGCUGCUGGCAGCCACGUGCCCACCAACAAUCAAGAGCUAAGAAUUGGGCAACAUCAUGGAAGGAAGACUGUGGGGAAAAAGAAACUGAGUCCCUGCUGAGGCUUGUUGCUUACCUGAGGCCAACCAUGCCCUUGAACUCUUCUCUUUUGUGAAGAGAUACAUUCUCUUUACUUUUAAAAAUUCAUUUUAUUGAAUCUUCUCUUCCUUGCAACCUGUAAAUAUAUUCAU
rnacentral:lncRNA from 1 species